CCUACGGGAGGCAGCAGUGAGGAAUAUUGGUCAAUGGGCGCGAGCCUGAACCAGCCAAGUAGCGUGAAGGAUGACUGCCCUACGGGUGGUAAACUUCGUUUGUAAAGGAAUAAAGUGAGGCACGUGAGCCUUUUUGUAUGUACUUUAUGAAUAAGGAACGGCUAACUCCGUGCCAGCAGCCGCGGUAAUACGGUGGAUCCGGGCGUUAUCCGGAUUUAUUGGGUUUAAAGGGAGCGUAGAUGGGUUGUUAAGUCAGGUGUGAAAGUUUGCGGCUCAACCGGAAAAUUGCAAUUGAUACUGGCAGCCUUGAGUACAGUAGAGGUAGGCGGAAUUCGUGGUGUAGCGGUGAAAUGCUUAGAUAUCACGAAGAACUCCGAUUGCGAAGGCAGCUUACUAACCUGCCACUGACAUUGAUGCUCGAAAGUGUGGGUAUCAAACAGGAUUAGAUACCCUUGUAGUC
rnacentral:rRNA from 1 species